AGUUUGCUCACUCACCAAAAGACAGUACAUGAAGGUCGCAAAGAUUAUGCAUGCUACAAGUGCGAGAAAAUAUUUGGCCAAAAUUCAGAUUUGAUCAGGCAUCGAAAGAUGGUCCAUGAAGGUCGCAAAGAUACGGAUGCCACAGAUGUGAAAAGAAGUUUGGACUAAAAGGAGAUUUGGUCAGACACCAAAACACAGUCCAUGAACUUGGUAAAGAUAACGAACAUAACAAGGGUGGAAAUGAAUAUGAGACUCCAUCGAAUUUGAAAUGACACGGGAAAAAGUUAAUACAAUUCAUCGAAACUACCUUUUGGACAAUUCUCGAAGUUUGUAAAUAUUACGUAUAUGAUGAAAGUGAAAAAACUAUUGCAUACAAACGCUGUUAUGUUUCCGACAUUUGAUUUGCUCACAAGGACAAAAAUUGGCCGUGUCGAUGCGUAAAUAAAAGUCAAUUUGUCCGAUCAUAAAGUAGUUGCUGAAUAAAAAUUUUAACAGAA